AGAGUUUGAUCCUGGCUCAGGAUGAACGCUGGCGGCGUGCCUAACACAUGCAAGUCGAGCGAGAUGUUCAUGAAGAAUCCUUCGGGUGCCUGAUUGGACGGAAAGCGGCGGACGGGUGAGUAACGCGUAGGUAACCUGCCCUGUACAAAGGGAUAGCCACUGGAAACGGUGAUUAAUACCUUAUGAUACCGGAUGAUCACAUGGUCGACCGGUCAAAGAUUUAUCGGUACAGGAUGGACCUGCGUCUGAUUAGCUGGUUGGUAAGGUAACGGCUUACCAAGGCGACGAUCAGUAGCCGACCUGAGAGGGUGAUCGGCCACAUUGGAACUGAGACACGGUCCAAACUCCUACGGGAGGCAGCAGUGGGGAAUAUUGCACAAUGGGGGAAACCCUGAUGCAGCAACGCCGCGUGAACGAAGAAGGCUCUUGGGUCGUAAAGUUCUGUUCUGAGGGAAGAAAACAAUGACGGUACCUCAGGAGAAAGCCCCGGCUAACUACGUGCCAGCAGCCGCGGUAAUACGUAGGGGGCAAGCGUUGUCCGGAAUUACUGGGCGUAAAGAGUACGUAGGCGGUCUUGUAAGCGUAUGGUGAAAGGCAUCGGCUCAACCAGUGUCAGCCGUGCGAACUGCGAGACUUGAGUGCGGGAGAGGAAAGCGGAAUUCCUGGUGUAGCGGUGAAAUGCGUAGAUAUCAGGAGGAACACCGGUGGCGAAGGCGGCUUUCUGGACCGUAACUGACGCUGAGGUACGAAAGCGUGGGGAGCAAACAGGAUUAGAUACCCUGGUAGUCCACGCCGUAAACGAUGAGUAUUAGGUGUCGGGUCCGCAAGGGAUUCGGUGCCGCAGUUAACGCAUUAAAAUACUCCGCCUGGGGGAGUACGCACGCAAGUGUAAAACUCAAAGGAAUUGACGGGGACCCGCACAAGCAGCGGAGCAUGUGGUUUAAUUCGAAGCAACGCGAAGAACCUUACCAGGGCUUGACAUCCUCCCGAAAGGCUGGGUAACGCCGGCCCCUCUUCAGACGGGAGAGACAGGUGGUGCAUGGUUGUCGUCAGCUCGUGUCGUGAGAUGUUGGGUUAAGUCCCGCAACGAGCGCAACCCUUGUCAUCAGUAGCCAGUAUUAAGUUAGGCACUCUGGAGAGACUGCCGGGGAUAACCCGGAGGAAGGUGGGGAUGACGUCAAAUCAUCAUGCCCCUUAUGACCUGGGCUACACACGUGCUACAAUGGCGUAAACAAAGAGAAGCGAGCCCGCGAGGGGGAGCAAACCUCAAAAAUAACGUCCCAGUUCGGACUGUAGUCUGCAACCCGACUACACGAAGCUGGAAUCGCUAGUAAUCGCAGAUCAGAAUGCUGCGGUGAAUACGUUCCCGGGUCUUGCACUCACCGCCCGUCA
rnacentral:rRNA from 1 species